rnacentral:rRNA from 1 species
UGGGUAACCUGCCUCAAAGAGGGGAAUAGCCUCCCCGAAAAGGGAGAUUAAUACCGCAUAAUAUGUUUAGGUCGCAUGACUUUAACAUCAAAGGAUUUUCUUUUAGAAAUUCCACUUUGAGAUGGACCCGCGGCGCAUUAGCUAGUUGGUGAGGUAACGGCUCACCAAGGCAACGAUGCGUAGCCCGACCUGAGAGGGUGAUCGGCCACAUCGGAACUGAGACACGGUCCAGACUCCGUAGGGACGG